rnacentral:rRNA from 1 species
UACGUAGGGUGCGAGCGUUAAUCGGAAUGACUGGGCGUAAAGGGUGCGUAGGCGGUUUGCUAAGCCGGAUGUGAAAUCCCUGGGCUCAACCUAGGAACAGCAUACGUGACUGGCAGGCUAGAGUAUCGAAGAGGGGGGUAGAAUUCCACGUGUAGCAGUGAAAUGCGUAGAGAUGUGGAGGAAUACCGAUGGCGAAGGCAGCCCCCUGGUCAGAUACUGACGCUGAGGCACGAAAGCGUGGGGAGCAAACAGG